rnacentral:rRNA from 1 species
UACGUAGGGGGGCAAGCGUUUGUCCGGAAUCAUUGGGCGUAAAGAGCGUGUAGGCGGCUCGGUAAGUCCGUUCUGAAAGUCCAGGGCUCAACCCUGGGAUGCGGAUGGAUACUGCCGGGCUCGAGUCCGGGAAGAGGCGAGUGGAAUUCCCGGUGUAGCGGUGAAAUGCGCAGAUAUCGGGAGGAACACCAAUGGGCGAAGGCAGCUCGCUGGGACGUGACUGACGCUGAGACGCGAAAAGCGUGGGGAGCAAACAGGGAUUAA